AUUGAACGCUGGCGGCAUGCCUUACACAUGCAAGUCGAACGGCAGCACGGGUGCUUGCACCUGGUGGCGAGUGGCGAACGGGUGAGUAAUACAUCGGAACGUACCUUAUCGUGGGGGAUAACGCAGCGAAAGUUGCGCUAAUAACGGAUACGCCCUGAGGGGGAAAGCGGGGGACCGUAAGGCCUCGCGCGAUUAGAGCGGCCGAUGUCUGAUUAGCUUGUUGGUGAGGUAAAAGCUCACCAAGGCGAUGAUCAGUAGCUGGUCUGAGAGGACGAUCAGCCACACUGGGACUGAGACACGGCCCAGACUCCUACGGGAGGCAGCAGUGGGGAAGUUUGGACAAUGGGGGCAACCCUGAUCCAGCAAUGCCGCGUGAGUGAAGAAGGCCUUCGGGUUGUAAAGCUCUUUUGUCAGGGAAGAAACAGCAGCUCUAACACAGUCUGCGAAUGACGGUACCUGAAGAAUAAGCACCGGCUAACUACGUGCCAGCCGCCGCGGUAA
rnacentral:rRNA from 1 species